rnacentral:rRNA from 1 species
AACGCGUGAAUUGAUCCACCUGGAGAGUACGAUCGCAAUAUUAAAACUCAAAGGAAUUGACGGGGGGCCGCACAAGCGGUGGAUGAUGUGGAUUAAUUCGAUGCAACGCGAACAACCUUNCCUACCCUUGACAUGUCCGGAAGCCCGGUGAGAGCUGGGGGUGCCCGAAAGGGAACCGGAACACAGGUGCUGCAUGGCUGUCGUCAGCUCGUGUCGUGAGAUGUCGGGUUAAGUCCCGCAACGAGCGCAACCCUUGUCCCUAGUUGCUACGCAAGGGCACCCUAGGGAGACUGCCGGUGACAAACCGGAGGAAGGUGGGGAUGACGUCAAGUCCUCAUGGCCCUUAUGGGUAGGGCUUCACACGUCAUACAAUGGUCGGUACAGAGGGUUGCCAAGCCGCGAGGUGGAGCCAAUCCCAGAAAGCCGAUCGUAGUCCGGAUCGCAGUCUGCAACUCGACUGCGUGGAGUCGGAAUCGCUAGUAAUCGCGGAUCAGCAUACCGCGGUGAAUACGUUCCCGGGUCUUGUACACACCGCCCGUCAGCACCCAUGGGAUGUGGGGUUUACCAGAAGGCAGGUAGCCUAACCCGCAAGGAGGGGCGCCUCCCCCCG